GCCAGGGAAGGAAGAAAAGGGAGCCAAGAACCCUAACUACUAGAUAUCAAGAAAUUGGAGCCUAAAUCUCAAGGAAAUUCGAUGCAUGAGCCCCCUUAUACGAAAAUCUAACCCUAACUAGUGAAGUGGCAUAAAGGAAGAAGGUACAAGCACCAAGAAAACGGAAGGAACGCAAGAUCGAGGUAAAACUCCGCUAUAGGCGAUUCGGGGAUAUGGAGCGAGCACAUGAUCAAGCCUUAAUAUACCAAGCGCUUCCGCUAGUUUUUAUACAUGCUUUGGGUCCAUGUUUUGUUACCUUGUUUAAUCUUGUUAGAAGUCUUACACUUGAAAACUUGUUGUUUUGUUUGGGUAGUUUAAAGCUAGUAGGGUCGUAGGUGAAUAUUGUCAAUUAUGUCAAAACAGGGGGCAUGUCCGUUUUACAAACGGGUCAUGCCCAAAUUUUGUAAAAAAUUUUAUUAAGUGUCAAAGUUGGUAUUUCGAUGUCCGAAAAAUUAUCCUUUUGUAAGUAAUCUAACAAUAACGAAAA